AAUGAAUGUUGGCGGCGUGGAUUAGGCAUGCAAGUCGAGCGAACAGAGGGGGCUUGCCCCCGAAGUGAGCGGCGAAAGGGAGAGCAAUAUAUGGAUUAUCUGCCCUCAGGAUCGGGAUAGCUACGGGAAACUGUAGGUAAUACCGAAUAAUAUCUCCGGAUCAAAGGUGAGAUUCCGCCUGAGGAUGAGUUCAUAUCCUAUUAGCUUGUUGGUGGGGUAAUGGCCUACCAAGGCUAAGAUGGGUACCGGGCGUGAGAGCGUGACCCGGCUCACUGGGACUGAGACACUGCCCAGACACCUACGGGUGGCUGCAGUCGAGAAUCUUCGGCAAUGGACGAAAGUCUGACCGAGCGACGCCGCGUGUAUGAUGAAGGCCUUCGGGUUGUAAAGUACUGUAAGUUGGGAGGAAGUGUAUGGGGUUCUCCCCUAUAUUUGACCUAUCUUCAAAGUAAGCUCGGGCUAAGUUCGUGCCAGCAGCCGCGGUAACAC
rnacentral:rRNA from 1 species